rnacentral:lncRNA from 1 species
CGGAAACUGACGCCUCAGAUCUCUGACCCCAGCGUUCUGCGGGCUGACCUGGUCUCUCCUGAAGUUGUCGGUGCUGGGAUGAAUCCAACACUUGAACUGUCCAUUUCCCGGAGAACUUGAUACAAUGACAAAAUCAACCCCGUUUUCACCCUACCUUCACCAGAAAUUGAUCCAGCGGUUCAGGGACUGACUCGGAGCCUGCAAUUUUCAAAAUCUCCCCCAGAGAAUGCCAAAUCACUGUAGCAGAGGAGGCCGCACCCACCCAACGGGUCUCCCACCCUGGGCACCUUCUCCACGACCCGAGUGAAAUCCAGGACGGUGAGAAUGGGGGAUGGGUGAAGCGAGGCCUGCAUUAUUAAGUCUUUACAGGGAGAGAAUUAGCCAUAUUAUAGAUCAGCCCUACACCUUCGACUCACUGGGCAGCGCAAGUAUUCAGAGCAAACCCAGAAGAUGCUCUUUAUCCCUGCACGGGCUCAAAGGGCAAGUGGAGUGUUCUGUCAGAAGCUAGGGUGAGAGUAACUAUAGGAAAAGGAAAACAGACCAUGAUGUGAGUGGAGUGACAAGAAGAUCUAUUUGGGAAACAAAAUUUCACAAACAGGGAAUCCAAUUGAGAGAAAUUCCCAAAAAUCCACAUCACCUCAGUUCUUUGAGGAAACCCUAUAGGCCAACUCCAAAGUGUCUUCAUGUAAUCUGGAACCAGAAAGAAACAUUUCCUCUCAAGUCAGAACAAUGUCACAUUGAAAGCCUGGUCCCCUCUCCCAUCCACCCCCAUCUGGAGACAAGAGCAAAGGAAACAGCUCUGUGGUUUUGGGGCUAAGGGUAGGGAAUGAGGCUUUUAGACAGUUGUGUCCUUAAUGACUGAAGGAUUCUGGCCUAUCUGUGCUUCUAGAAAGGGGAGGAACUGGCAAUGUCUGCACAAAGUACAGUUUUCUAGAGUGCUGCAUCUUCGACCCGCAGAGCUACCUGGCUGCUAUAGCGUAGAUGUGGCGGGCCUUGGGGGAUUCCUGUUCGCCUAGCUCACAGCGCCAUGCCGACGACCCAGCACCGAAGGGCCCCGAAGGCAAUCCGCACCUUAUUACCGCUCUCUCGGCCGUCUUCACGUUGAGAUCCCGGGCCCAGAGAAGCGAAGUGGGGCUUUGUCGAAAUACUGGGGGAAGAACUGGGAGUCUCUGGCCCCCUCGGCGCCGCGGUGGAGUCGGACCCGGCGAGCCUCUGCGUAACGUCAGCGCGCGGGAGCUUCCUAAUGAGUAGAAAAGCAAAUAUCAUCUCUAUGAGACAGGAGUGGGGAGAAGCCCAAAGUGUAAGAAGAGAAAUUGGUAUGCAUGGAAGACAUGGAUACUUAGCAACUCUCUCUCCUGGCACUCAACUGCACACACAGAGAAAGUCAUGGCUAUGGAAUAAUGCCUAUAGAAUUCUAGAAUAAUGCAGGUUUCUCCAGUUAUAUCUGUUCUACUGAUACGGGGAGAGAAGAAGGAAGGUGUCCUGGAAGCUUUUAAGAGCCUCAUAUCAAAUAUAAUUUGGGCAAGGUGUGAGAUUCCACCUGACUGAAAUUUCAAAUAUCUGGGAAUGAGAAGAUGGGGCACAUGUGAAAUUAUUAAUCCCGAGAGCUCCAAAUGGAUUGUCUUUUCUCUGUAGCUGAGGAACCAGAAUAAGAAAAAAGGGAGAAAGAAGUAAAAGAAGCAAGUAGGAAGAGUGAGAUCAAAUUCUGUCUAGAGUUGUGGGAAUGUGGCCCCUCAUUUUUUGUGUGCGUCCCCUCUCUCCAACUCAAACUGAAAAGGUCUAAAUUGUUCUGAAUCAUAUAAGCCAUAAAUAAACCUUCUCCUAUUGUAAGAGAGGGCCAUGUUCUAGUCCAUAGAUGGUUUAUAUGGGUUAUAAUGGAAUGAGGUGGGGGGUUGGGAAAUACACAUUUGUCAUAAAACAAUUGAGACAAAUUUUGCACUAUAAUAACUAUGUAUACAUUUGAUAGACCCCAGACAUUUUGCCCUUUACAGUUCAAAAAGGCAUGAAGGUAAAUCAUUCACUAUACAGAGCAAGUGACACCUUCAUUUAUAUCAGUG